UCCUACGGGAGGCAGCAGUGGGGAAUAUUGCACAAUGGGCGCAAGCCUGAUGCAGCAACGCCGCGUGAGGGACGAAGGCCUUCGGGUUGUAAACCUCUUUUAGUAGGGAAGAAGCGACUGGGUUUUCCUGGGAGUGACGGUACCUGCAGAAAAAGCACCGGCUAACUACGUGCCAGCAGCCGCGGUAAUACGUAGGGUGCAAGCGUUGUCCGGAAUUAUUGGGCGUAAGGAGCUCGUAGGCGGUUUGUCGCGUCUGCUGUGAAAACCCGAGGCUCAACCUCGGGCCUGCAGUGGGUACGGGCAGACUAGAGUGCGGUAGGGGAGAUUGGAAUUCCUGGUGUAGCGGUGGAAUGCGCAGAUAUCAGGAGGAACACCAAUGGCGAAGGCAGAUCUCUGGGCCGUAACUGACGCUGAGGAGCGAAAGCAUGGGGAGCGAACAGGAUUAGAUACCCUGGUAGUCCAUGCCGUAAACGUUGGGAACUAGAUGUGGGGACCAUUCCACGGUCUCCGUGUCGCAGCUAACGCAUUAAGUUCCCCGCCUGGGGAGUACGGCCGCAAGGCUAAAACUCAAAGGAAUUGACGGGGGCCCGCACAAGCGGCGGAGCAUGCGGAUUAAUUCGAUGCAACGCGAAGAACCUUACCAAGGCUUGACAUAUACCGGAAACGGCUGGAAACAGUCGCCCCGCAAGGUCGGUAUACAGGUGGUGCAUGGUUGUCGUCAGCUCGUGUCGUGAGAUGUUGGGUUAAGUCCCGCAACGAGCGCAACCCUCGUCCUAUGUUGCCAGCACGUAAUGGUGGGAACUCAUGGGAUACUGCCGGGGUCAACUCGGAGGAAGGUGGGGAUGACGUCAAAUCAUCAUGCCCCUUAUGUCUUGGGCUUCACGCAUGCCACAAUGGCCGGUACAAAGGGCUGCGAUACCGCAAGGUGGAGCGAAUCCCAAAAAGCCGGUCUCAGUUCGGAUUGAGGUCUGCAACUCGACCUCAUGAAGUCGGAGUCGCUAGUAAUCGCAGAUCAGCAACGCUGCGGUGAAUACGCUCCCGGGCCUUGUACACACCGCC
rnacentral:rRNA from 1 species